GAGUUUGAUCCUGGCUCAGAUUGAACGCUGGCGGCAGGCCUAACACAUGCAAGUCGAGCGGAUGAAGGGAGCUUGCUCCUGGACUCAGCGGCGGACGGGUGAGUAAUGCCUAGGAAUCUGCCUGGUAGUGGGGGAUAACGUCCGGAAACGGGCGCUAAUACCGCAUACGUCCUGAGGGAGAAAGUGGGGGAUCUUCGGACCUCACGCUAUCAGAUGAGCCUAGGUCGGAUUAGCUAGUUGGUGGGGUAAAGGCCUACCAAGGCGACGAUCCGUAACUGGUCUGAGAGGAUGAUCAGUCACACUGGAACUGAGACACAGUCCAGACUCCUACGGGAGGCAGCAGUGGGGAAUAUUGGACAAUGGGCGAAAGCCUGAUCCAGCCAUGCCGCGUGUGUGAGAAGGUCUUCGGAUUGUAAAGCACUUUAAGUUGGGAGGAAGGGCAGUAAGUUAAUACCUUGCUG
rnacentral:rRNA from 1 species